CUGGGCUGCAGCACAUAGCCGCAGUGCCCGCCGGUCAUGAAGAGGGCCUGGUUCAUCUGCAUGGGCUUGUCUGCAAGAGCCAGUGAGCUGGUGGCACACACAAGGGCGCUGUAGCCCCAGGCGGAGCCCCACCGAGAAGAAAGCAGCCCCUGCCAGCCUUGGGCAGUCCACACGUCCUGCAGCUCCUCCUGUGAGUCGGCAGCAACAUCCAGGGACCAUUGCGCCACCGAUGCCAUACUGAUGGAGAAGACGAAUGGCCGA